rnacentral:rRNA from 1 species
GACGAACGCUGGCGGCGUGCUUAACACAUGCAAGUCGAACGGAAAGGCCCUGCUUGCAGGGUACUCGAGUGGCGAACGGGUGAGUAACACGUGGGUGAUCUGCCCUGCACUUCGGGAUAAGCCUGGGAAACUGGGUCUAAUACCGGAUAGGAGCCAUUUUUAGUGUGAUGGUUGGAAAGUUUUUUCGGUGUAGGAUGAGCUCGCGGCCUAUCAGCUUGUUGGUGGGGUAAUGGCCUACCAAGGCGGCGACGGGUAGCCGGCCUGAGAGGGUGGACGGCCACAUUGGGACUGGGAUACGGCCCAGACUCCUACGGGAGGCAGCAGUGGGGAAUAUUGCGCAAUGGGCGCAAGCCUGAUGCAGCGACGCCGCGUGGGGGAUGACGGCCUUCGGGUUGUAAACUCCUUUCGCUAGGGACGAAGCUUUUUGUGACGGUACCUAGAUAAGAAGCACCGGCUAACUACGUG